UGGGGAAUAUUGGACAAUGGGCGCAAGCCUGAUCCAGCCAUGCCGCGUGCAGGAAGAAGCAUCUAUGGUGUGUAAACUGCUUUUGUACGGGAAGAAACACUCCUACGUGUAGGAGCUUGACGGUACCGUAAGAAUAAGGAUCGGCUAACUCCGUGCCAGCAGCCGCGGUAAUACGGAGGAUCCAAGCGUUAUCCGGAAUCAUUGGGUUUAAAGGGUCCGUAGGCGGUUUAAUAAGUCAGUGGUGAAAGCCCAUCGCUCAACGAUGGAACGGCCAUUGAUACUGUUAGACUUGAAUUACAAGGAAGUAACUAGAAUAUGUAGUGUAGCGGUGAAAUGCUUAGAUAUUACAUGGAAUACCAAUUGCGAAGGCAGGUUACUACUUGUGGAUUGACGCCGAUGGACGAAAGCGUGGGGAGCGAAC
rnacentral:rRNA from 1 species